AACAUCGCGCACCUGCGGGAACCUGCGGAAGGAUCAUUACUGAGUGUAAAAACUCCCAAACCCAUUGUGAACAUACCACUGUUGCUUCGGCGGAUACGCCCCGGGCGCGCUCUUCACAGGGCGUGCCCCGGAACCAGGCGCCCGCCGGGGGACCGAAACUCUUGUUUUCUUAGGAUCUCUGAGUGUGAUUAUUAAAUAAAUCAAAACUUUUAACAACGGAUCUCAGAUCGGAAGAGCACA
rnacentral:misc_RNA from 1 species